rnacentral:rRNA from 1 species
GUGCCAGCCGCCGCGGUAAUACCGGCAGCCCGAGUGAUGGCCGAUCUUAUUGGGCCUAAAGCGUCCGUAGCUGGCUGCGCAAGUCCGUCGGGAAAUCCACUCGCUUAACGAGUGGGCGUCCGGCGGAAACUGUGCGGCUUGGGACCGGAAGAUCCAAGGGGUACGUCCGGGGUAGGAGUGAAAUCCCGUAAUCCUGGACGGACCGCCGAUGGCGGAAGCACGUCGCGAGAACGGAUCCGACAGUGAGGGACGAAAGCCAGGGUCUCGAACCGGAUUAGAUACCCGAGUAGUCC